rnacentral:rRNA from 1 species
CACGCCGUAAACGAUGAGUGCUAGGUGUCGGGGGUUCACACCCUCGGUGCCGGAGUUAACGCAUUAAGCACUCCGCCUGGGGAGUACGGUCGCAAGACUGAAACUCAAAGGAAUUGACGGGGACCCGCACAAGCAGCGGAGCAUGUGGUUUAAUUCGAAGCAACGCGAAGAACCUUACCAGAACUUGACAUCCCUGUGACCGGUCCGUAAUGGGGCCCUUCCCUUCGGGGACAAAGGAGACAGGUGG